rnacentral:rRNA from 1 species
GACGAACGCUGGCGGCGUGCCUAAUACAUGCAAGUUGAGCGAUGAAGAUUGGUGCUUGCACCAAUUUGAAGAGCAGCGAACGGGUGAGUAACGCGUGGGGAAUCUGCCUUUGAGCGGGGGACAACAUUUGGAAACGAAUGCUAAUACCGCAUAACAACUUUAAACAUAAGUUUUAAGUUUGAAAGAUGCAAUUGCAUCACUCAAAGAUGAUCCCGCGUUGUAUUAGCUAGUUGGUGAGGUAAAGGCUCACCAAGGCGAUGAUACAUAGCCGACCUGAGAGGGUGAUCGGCCACAUUGGGACUGAGACACGGCCCAAACUCCUACGGGAGGCAGCAGUAGGGGAUCUUCGGCAAGGGACGAAAGUCUGACCGAGCAACGCCGCGUGAGUGAAGAAGGUUUUCGGAUCGUAAAACUCUGUUGGUAGAGAAGAACGUUGGUGAGAGUGGAAAGCUCAUCAAGUGACGGUAACUACCCAGAAAGGGACGGCUAACUACGUG